GAUCUCCGGAGUUCUCAGCUGAGUGCUUAAAAAUGAUGGUUCUCAGGCUUUAGCCAAGAAAAACGGGUGUUGAUGAAAAACGGUCAAAAUUAAGAAAAAUAAAUGCUGGUUCUGAAUCGGUUCUUCAGAUUAAAACGAAUAACGUUGGUUUAAAAUUGAGCAAAAUGUCUCCUUAAGUUACAAAAAUAUUAAGAGAUAAAUAGUUAACAAACUUAGAUGGUGAGGGAAUUUUGAAGAUAGGAAAAACGCGCUUUAGGUAAGAAAAUAAUGAGAGAGACUUUGGUUGGCCUCUCAGGAAGAGAGGGGUAAGAGAGUAGGUCGGUAAGAGGCAAGAGAGAAUAAGAGGGAGUAAUGUGGGCUACGGCUGACUUUAUCUGUGGGUCCAGCUAAGGGGAGGACCUGGGCGGAGAGAGAGAACUUUUAGGCGCGAGUCUGGUGGAAUUUGGAAUCUCUUUGUUCUCACAGAGUAGAGAAGAAAGAGGAGUCCAGAAUGGAUUAAAAUAUGAUAUUAAACGCGCAAAACACGAUCUGUCUAUCCCACCAUAUUCAGUUGUGUGAAAGUGAAAUGUGUAGAUUAAUACAUAUGUUCAUAUGAUGUGAAUCAUUCAUAACUAUGUUUAUGUUUAUGACAUUAAAAAUAUGUAUCACAGUGAGAAUAUAACAACAAGUCAGAGAUUUGGUAACAGGUAAAUACAAUGGUCAUCAUUCAACCUAAAUGGAGAGGAAAUUCAGAGGUUAAUACUGGAAUUCAUUCCAAAAUCAUAGUAUCCUGGGGAAGAAAUGAUUAAACAUCACAAAUUAAUAAAUCGACUUCUAUAAGACAUGUAAAUCUGAUUUUCGAAUAUGUCAUAGAUGAAACACUGUGAGUAACUGUGGUAAAUCUGGAAAACUAAAUACAUAUCAGAAAUAUUAAUUUGGCAAGUGUUCUUUUGUUUCAGUUCAGUUCCAGUCUCUUUGUUUCAGUCAACGAGACAGAGAGGGUGACUCCAGCCUUCAGCCAUAAAGUUUUACGACUUGUUAUCUGAUCUGGGGAAUGCAGAGACGUCUCCGGCUGAGGGUCUCCUAAAGCUGAAAAGGGAUUUUAGCAUGAAAGUUCAUUAACAAGACAUCCAUAGCGUAUAAUUGAGAAUCCUUGUCAAUCAGAAAGAAAAGGUUCCUCCAGGUGUUUAAUGUUUACAGGAACUCCAUCUUCCUGUGGAUGAAAACAUAUAGAAAUACACUGUCCCAAUCUUCCUGUAGGAAUGGGAAAAAGGAGUCCAGCAUUGGAGGGAGCUUAUCUGAGUUUGCCAUGUCUCAGGAAUUCCAGAGGCCUUUUGGAAAAUGCCUACAGAGACAACGCCGAUUCUGCACACGCCUAGUCGGGAUAAAAGAAGGUCUUCAAUCAUGUGAGGGACAGCGGCCCAUUGCGAGCUUCGCUAAACUACUGCAGGAGCUGUUGAGCCUUAAGUUCACCCCGACCCUAGAUGCAGCAUACCGGCGCGCUAACGAAGGAGAGCCUCCCAGAGUCAUCUUGAUCAGAUUCCACUAUUUAUGGGAACGAGAGGAGAUCUUCUGUACAGCGGCUCGCAUGGCACCGCUGCCCCUGCACAACGAGAGAGUGAGUAUAUUCCCAGACUAUACGGCGACGGUGGCGAAGAAGAGAGCUGCAUUUGCUGAAGCUCAACGUUUACUCCGGAGCUGCUGGAAUGUCAAGUUUGGUGUCCGGUUCCCGGUGGUGCUCCGCAUCACUGAUUCGUGGUUUGAAGACCCGGCGGCGGCGGUGGAAUACAUUAAAAAGAACUUGAAGCCCGAGGACAAUGUAAACUGAUUUAGCCAACUGGAUGAUGGAGACUAAAUGUUAACAACGAACUGGUAAGCCCAAGUGUGAAAGGUGUUUUCACAACAGUUGUUUAUUCACCCUCUUUUUUCAUAAUGCCCGCAACAGUGAGGCUCCCAGGCAACACUGGCAUCUUAUAUUUUGUGAACGUUUAGCGCCUGGUGUUUAAGUUACAGUGUACAGACUUUAUUCCUCUCUCCUAUUUAAUUUCCUAUGGUUUACGCAUGUAACCCAGGUGGAUAUGUAUGUAUAUAUGCAUAACAUUUGAAUAUGGUAGCCUCUUGAGUAAAAUGUAAACGCCAUAAUAAUUAUUGUUACCAGGACUAGCACCGCACAGAUAAGCCUUUUAAAUUUCAUUAGACAUGCGGAUACAGGAGAGUGGAGGGGCACACAGAGAUACCUUGUUUCUUUUUUUUUUUCUUUCUCUGUUGUUAACUAUAUAUAAACAGUCUCCACUCUAAUUUGAAUUCAACUUAGAUUUACUAAUGGUUCGCCCCGGUUGGGGCUAGUUAGGAGGAUAGGUUAGUUGAGCAUCUGCACCAGUAUGCUAGAAGGGGGAUGUGCGAUCUCGACAGGUUCAGUAGAUCAGCAUAGGGUUUUAAGGCUCAGCUUUAGUUUCAGUUUUGUAGUUAGACAGGGACUUAUUCUUGCUUUCUUACUUUUCUCAGUUACUCUAGAAACACAAUGUUUGGUAUGCAAAUGGCAAGUCAUAUUCGUUUCCUGAGUUGGAACAUAAAGGGAAUCCAUAACCCAGUGAAGCGAAGCAGGGUGUUUGCACAUAUGAAAGCACUAAAAAGUGAUAUCAUAUUUCUACAGGAGACUCACUAUCAAGUGAAUAUGCAAAACUGAAGAAAGCUUGGAUAGGGCAAUUAUUCUUUAAAAAAAAAACGAUGACAGGGCACGUGACACAGCAAUUCUGAUUAAAAAAGGCAUCCCAUUCAACCCAACACAGUCUGCGUGUGACUCCAGGGGUAGAUAUGUCAUAGUGAGUGGCAAGCUGUACGGUGCUCAAGUAACAUUAGCUAAUGUAUAUGGACCCAAUUGGGACGAUCCACUAUUCUUCACUAACUUUAUAGCAACAUUACCAGAUCUUAAUAACAAUCAAUUGAUACUAGGAGGUGAUUUUAACUGUGUUUUACACCCUAAACUAGACAGAUUAAAUCCCAGACCUAACAGUAAGAUCUCAAACUCUGGUGCAGUUAUCCAGUCAUUUAUAGACACAUACAGACUUUUUGACCCCUGGCGGAGAGAUAACCCAACCACUAGGCAAUAUUCCUUCUUUUCCCCAGUCCACCAUUCCUUUUCCAGGAUUGACUUUUUCCUUGUAGACAGCAAAACUCUACCUUUGGUCAAGGAUUGCCAGUAUAAUGGUAUUGUAAUUUCUGACCAUGGCCCAGUGCAACUGGAUAUAUGUUUCCCAGAAUGCAUCAGACCACGCCAUACGUGGCGGUUUGAUCCUCUGUUGCUAUCCCGGGAGUCUUUCAAGAAAUUCAUCUCCCAACAAAUUGAUAGUUUUUUGGAAUUCAAUCGGACACCAGAUAUGCCACUAACCGCAGUAUGGGAGGCCCUUAAGGCCUAUCUCAGAGGCCAGAUAAUAUCUUAUACAGCCUAUGAGAGAAAAAAACGCAAACAGCGCCUGAGCGACCUGUCUCACAGCAUAGCAGAGGUGGACCGUAAAUAUGCUGAUGCCCCAACGCCCGAUCUCUACAGAGAAAAAUUACUGUUAAAAACUGAAUUUGAUAACCUCUCCACUAAACAAAUUGAGCAGUUGUUUUUUAAAUCAAAACAAACAUUUUACCAACAUGGGGAGAAGGCUGGAAAGCUUUUAGCUCACCAAAUCAGACAGUCCGCAGCGGUGAGCACUAUUCCUAAAAUCCGAACAGAGCAGGGGGAGAUAACCACCAACCCGGACAUGAUAAACAAUGAGUUUAAACAAUUCUAUAUGAACCUCUACAAAUCUGAACCACCAGAUGACCUGUCAGAUAUUACUAGAUUCUUGGAAGGACUGACCAUCCCAACAAUCAACCCAGAGGAUUGUUUGCAGAUAGACAGACGGAUUACAACAGACGAAGUUAUGCAGGCAAUUAAAUCAAUGCGGUCUCCUUGGAUGCUGAAAAAGCAUUUGAUCGCUUUGAAUGGCAAUACUUGUUUACUGUCUUAGAAAGAUUUGGCUUUGGAUCAUUAUUUUUGACAUGGAUUAAAAUAAUAUAUGACGCACCUACUGCGGCUGUACGAACCAAUAACAAUAUCUCUGAUUAUUUCCCCCUUCACAGAUCUUGCAGGCAGGGCUGCGGCCUCUCCCCAUAUUUGUUUGAUCUGGCAGUUGAACCCCUUGCUAUAGCCCUUAGGGCAGAAGAGGGUAUCACUGGUAUAUCCCGUGGCAGUAAAGUCCAUAAGGUGGCGCUAUACGCGGAUGACCUGCUCUUGUAUAUAUCCAACCCAACAGUAUCAAUCCCAAAAUUAGUGUCAUUGCUAGAAAAGUUCAGAUGCCUCUCAGGCUACAAAUUGAACUAUUCAAAGAGCCUGCUUUUUCCAAUCAACCACACAGACGAUGAUUAUUCCAAAUUUCCAUUCAAAUUAGAACGCAGCGUGUUCACAUAUUUAGGAAUCAAAGUUACCCGUAGGAUAGGGAAUUUGGAGAAACACAACUUUAAGCCAUUAUUAGAACAAAAAAAGAUUUUGGUAAAUGGUCGAUUCUACCAAUUUCGUGAGCUGGUCGCAUUAAUAUAGUCAAAAUGACAGUCCUACCUAGAUUUCUUUAUGUGUCCCCAUAUUUAUCCCUAUGAAAACAUUUAAACAGCUAGAUAGACUCAUUUCUUCAUUUAUAUGGUAAAUGGUAAAUGGUCUGUAUUUAUAUAGCGCUUUACUAUACCUGCAAGGUACCCAAAGCGCUUUACAUGAUACAUCACAUUCACCCAUUCACACACACAUUCACACACUGAUGGCGGAAGCUGCCAUGCAAGGCGCUAACCACGACCCCAUCAGGAGCAAUUCGGGGUUAGGUGUCUUGCUCAGGGACACCUCGAGCACGACGGGGCGAGGAUCGAACCGGCAACCCUUCGGUUGCAAGACGGCCACUCUACCCACUGAGCCAUAUAUGGAACAACUCCAACCCUAGGAUGAAAAAGAUAUACCUGGAGGUCCCUAAAAAUGCUGUGGGAUUGGGAUUGCCUAAUUUUCUUUGGUAUUAUUGGGCUGCUAACAUUGCAAAAUUAAUUUAUUGGAUCCACGUGUAUGGGAAUAAGCAGGGCCCAGACUGGGUUCAUAUGGAACUAUCAUCCAGCCCUCUACCAACACUCACAACAUCAUUGCCGCAUAGCUGUAGUACACGACUCACAAACUUGUCAAAGCUUCACUCAGGAUAUGGUUACAGUUCAGGAGACAUUUUGAUUUAAAACAGUAUAGCAGGUAUUUCCCACCUCACCACUUCUUUCCCCCAUCUGGGUCCGACAGUGCAUUUCAGUAUUGGCAUAGAAAUGGUUUGUUAUUCUUUGGUGAUUUGUAUCCCGAUAAUGUCACACCCUCCUGCUUCAGUGAGACGGCUCAUCUGAUUAAUGACGAGCGGCUGUGCUGAGUGCACAGCUGAGGCAAAUGAACAAUCAGCACCGCAUAAAGCCUGGCUCUCUCCACCACACCGAUGCCGCAUCAUUGAACAAACCUCCCCACUACGCCACUCACCCGACUACUCGCCGCUUCUCUGCCUUCCGUACAUCACUCCUUGGACUCUGUUUGCCCCCGGAUUAUCUUCGCCACGUCCCGUUCCUCGGACCCCAUUGCCCCUCCUGGACACUUUCGCCAGUCCCCGACCAUCGCCACAUUCCCCGCCGGCUCUGUCAAUUCAUACUUUUCCCGUCCUCCAUAACCCAGACAAUCCGUAAGCCACUUUCCCCUCUCUCUGGUUAGUUCUAUGUUUUUGUUUAACUUCGGCCCUUGGGUCCAUCCUUAGUUUAGUUUUAUUCUGUUUUAUUUUAUAGUUUUUACCUUGACCGUCUGGUCCUCCCUUAGUUGAGUUUAUUCAGUUUAGUUCUCCCUCCUGCUCUCUCCCCUCCUGCUUUGUUUAAGAUGAGUUUCUGUUUGUCCAUUUCCUUUAAUUAAAUCACCAUAAAUUCA